GUCCACACUGUAAACGCUGUCUACUAGCUGUCUGUGUGAUUUAUCACGUGGGUAGCGUAGCUAACGCGCUAAGUAGACCGCCUGGGGAGUACGGCCGCAAGGUUAAAACUCAAAUGAAUUGACGGGGGCCCGCACAAGCGGUGGAGCAUGUGGUUUAAUUCGAUGCAACGCGAAGAACCUUACCAGGACUUGACAUCCAGAGAACUUUCUAGAGAUAGAUUGGUGCCUUCGGGAACUCUGAGACAGGUGCUGCAUGGCU
rnacentral:rRNA from 1 species